rnacentral:snRNA from 1 species
AGCCACGCAAUGAGCACAAAGCGAACUAUUCUUUCACCUUUUACUAAAGAAUACCAUGUACACGUUGCAGUCAGUGGCAUACACCUAUUUUUGGAGGGGUUCUCUCAUUUGAGCUCC